GGUAUUUUAUCAGGAUUAAAAGGCAUUUUUGAGUUUUUAGUUCUACUUUUCCUCUCUUCCUGAUCCCUUUUCCUUUAUUGAUCCUACUAACCUUUUCAUGGUCACACCGGCCCAACUCAGGCAUCACAAUCCCAAGUCGGCGCUAAUCGAAGAUGCUACUUCCAAGCUCUUCGGCACGGUCAUCAUCCUCUCCGAGAUCUGCACGGAUAUGUGAUCGCAGUGCUUUUGUUUUUCUUUCAGUUCAUAAAAUAGUGAAUUUUUUUAAAGGUAAUUGAGGUUAUGAUUGAUGGGUUUUUGUUAUCUUGGACUAAUGAUUAAUGGGUUCUCUCUGGUUUUUUUUGUCUAAAUUAGUUGUAGCAUAUUCUUAUAGUGAGAAUCACCUAGUUAAAGUUAGCUAAUGAGUGCUAUUUUUAAGCUUAAUUUAUUGCAUGAGCAUCGUCAGUUCAAUCUUUUGGUUCUUUCUACAAAUCUUUUGAUUGAUGAUGUUUGGUUAUUUUGAGAUACUGAAUCGCAAGACAUGUGAUGGGGAAAAUGUCAGUUGAGCAAUUGUCUGAUCUGAUGUUGUUCUACUACAUGAUGGGGCCGAAAUGUUCAGAAGCUUUGGAAAGAAAACUACAUGGCAGUGUUAAUGACAUUAGCGAUUGACACUUCGCUCUGCCUGAGCCUGGGGAAACAUGCUUUGCUGUCAGUAAAAGGACAGAUGUUUGGGAAGGGCUCACAGGAAACCUGGGUUUCACCGCCCCCUGCCUUUCCUCUCUGUUUUGUCUUCUUUGGUUCCUUUCAUGUGAUAUAUGGAAAAGAUAGUUUACUCUGGAUUUCUACGCUUUCUGAAACCUCAUGGAGGUUCCGGCAUAUUGUUUCUCAGAUUAAAUGAAUGAGCUCAAAGCUUCUGGAUUGGGAUAUCAAACAUAUCCCUCGAUUGGGUAAUGAUAUGGCCGACAGCCUUGCCAAAGAUUGGGUGAGAAGAUCAGAGGAUUUAUUGUAUAUUUUUCCUGAAUGAUGCCUACUGUCUUAUAAAUGUGAGUUAUGACUAUCUGUUCUUGCUAGUAAAAAACGAAAACAGGAGUUAUUGUUA